CAGUAGUGAGCGAACUCUGGUUUGCUUUUAGAGCUAGGCUUAGUUUGGUAUUGAAGCCUAUUUGACGCUAUUAGAUAAAAUGAAGUUAGGAUAAAAACAUAUAGAGAUAUACUUCUGUGUUCUCCGCGCGAUAUGUGAAACGCAAUAUUACGUACAUAAACAAAUACGAUAUUUUCUUUGUACUUUUUUAUCGCAUGUAACGCAACCUCCCUCUAAUUCCAAACGAAGCCCUAAUCGGUUUGGGAAACAGUGGUUUCGGCCGAUCACUCGAUUUGGUUUGGUUGUUGAAGUUUCUAUCAAACCAAAUUAGAGACUUAAACCGAAGUGAAUUGUAUAGAGGAUAACNUAAAUUGGUAUAUGUAGAAACUCUAUUUCUUAUCUAUGGUAAUUAGUAGAUAUAUAGGAAUGAAUCAUUAAAUUCUCUUAUUAUUUAAUUAAAUCUUAAAUAUAUAUAUAUAUAUAUAGAGAGAGAGAGAGUUGAGCUAAGAUACUAAUGGUAGGAAAAGGACUUCAUUGCUAUCGAUUUGUUUUUAAUGAUGGAGUCUCCAAAUCGACCAUCGAUACUGUUGAGUAUGAUCUACAUUACUUGCAGUAUCUAAAUAUUAAAUUUCAAAUAUUUUCGACAUCAUUGAUUUAAUGAUUAGAGGGUUACAAAAAUUAUAAUUUUAAUAACCGAUACGAGAGAUUUGCUCGUUUAACAGUGUAAACAAAUCUAAAUCAAUUGAAUUUUGUUUAAUUUUUUUAAAACUAUUUAAAUAAGAUCUAUACUUUUAAUCUUGAUUAUAAAAAUUCUAUCAUCAUUUUUUGAAGGAUAUAUUUUUAUUCGUUCAUUUUGUGAUGCACAAGAUAACAAUAUCGAAAAAAUAUAAAAUUUAAUUUCUAGAUAUUGUAAGUAGUGU
rnacentral:lncRNA from 1 species